rnacentral:rRNA from 1 species
UCCUACGGGAGGCAGCAGUAGGGAAUCUUCCACAAUGGGCGAAAGCCUGAUGGAGCAACGCCGCGUGAGUGAAGAAGGAUUUCGGUUCGUAAAACUCUGUUGUAAGGGAAGAACAAGUACCAGUAGUAACCUGGCUGUACCUUGACGGUACCUAUAGA